GCCCAUAACACAUGCAAGUCGAGCGGAACAUGGGAGCUUGCUCCCUGAUGUUAGCGACGGACGGAUGAGUAACACGUGGGUAACCUGCCUGUAAGACUGGGAUAACUCCGGGAAACCGGGGCUAAUACCGGAUGCUUGUUUGAACCGCAUGGUUCAAACAUUAAAGGUGGCUUCCGCUACCACUUACACAUGGACCCGCGGCGCAUUAGCUAGUUGGUGAGGUAAUGGCUCACCAAGGCAACGAUGCGUAGCCGACCUGAAAGGGUGAUCGGGCACACUGGGACUGACCACGGCCCAGACUCCUACGGGAGGCAGCAAUAUGGAAUCUUCCGCAAUGGACGAAAGUCUGACGGAGCAACGCCGCGUGAGUGAUGAAGGUUUUCGGAUCGUAAAGCUCUGUUGUUAGGGAAGAACAAGUACCGUUCGAAUAGGGCGGUACCUUGACGGUACCUAACCAGAAAGCCACGGCUAACUACGUGCCAGCAGCCGCGGUAAUACGUAGGUGGCAAGCGUUGUCCGGAAUUAUUGGGCGUAAAGGGCUCGCAGGCGGUUUCUUAAGUCUGAUGUGAAAGCCCCCGGCUCAACCGGGGAGGGUCAUUGGAAACUGGGGAACUUGAGUGCAGAAGAGGAGACUGGAAUUCCACGUGUAGCGGUGAAAUGCGUAGAGAUGUGAGGAACACCAAGUGGCCAACGCGACUCUCUGGUCUGUAACUGAC
rnacentral:rRNA from 1 species